CUCAGGAAAGACAAAUGGUGCCCGAAAAUUUACUGCCUGACUUAAGAGAAGCUGCCUACUUCAAGUAGAAAGCCUGGGAGUCAAUGACAGGACUUUCUCCUCUUCUGCUCUUACAGAGAUACUUGGCAUUGGACUAAGCCAGGAUUUCACUGCACACCUGCUGUGAAGCUGAGGCUGGCCUUGAACUCAUUUUUUUCUGCUUCCAUUUCCUAUGCUGGAUUUAUAGCUGCACCACUCUGCCCAGUCAUGAUGAGGACAAUCUGCAGUUUUCAUUUCAGCAGAAGUUCCCAAUCAAGAAUCUGUCUCCCAGAAGAGUGUUUCUAAACAACGUUGCUCUAAAGAAACUUCUAAGCAACAGGGAUGACCGAAUUUUCCAGGAUUCAUCAUUCCUGUUGCUGCCACCCACGCACCUUAAAAUCCUUGUACUUUAUUUAGUUGUUGAUUUUGGUGGUGCUGAUGUUGGAGAUCAAACCAUGGUGUGCUGAGCACUGAGUACAGCUGAGCUGCGCAGGGCGGCUUCUGUGUACUUCCUAUAGAGCACACACAGCUUCCCUACCUUGUUCCACCCCUUCACUCACUCCUAUCCUUUUCCUAGCCUGGCCUUUCUUCUCCCUCUCCAGGGAAGGCAGCUGCUCUGCCAGUGGGUAGGGGAGAGACUGCCCCAGGGCAGCACUGAUCAUAGGCAAGUCUGUCUAAUUCUGGAUCUUGCAGAAGAAGCAAGCCUUUGGCCAUGCCUCUAACAAACCUUACCCGAUAAAGAUAACAUUGUGACCUACAGCUUCCUUACCUCACCUCCUGUCAGAGUCUCCCGUAGCCCAAACUGGCCUUGAGAUGUAGGUGUAUGAUUCUCACCCUCCCAGAGUGCUGGGAUUUUAAGUAGGGGGAGCCAACUUAAAAAUGGCUUAGAGCUGGUGAGGUGCCUUGUUGGGUAAAGGUGCUGUCUGAGGAUACAGUCUGACGACCUCAGUUUGGUCCCUAGAGCCAACUUAAAGGUAGGAGGGGACUGACUGCACUAAGCUGUCCUCUGACCAUGUGCUCCCAACAGGUACACCUCCCACUCUCACUCUCACAGAUAAUAAAAUGAUUACUUUGCUUGAUUAAAAACCUGCUUAGAAAAAAAAAUACAAAGA